GUGGCUGUGUCAAAACCACAGAAAUGGAGAGGCAGCAUUCGGCAGUUGGUUGAUGAUGCAAGAAGAACAGAGAUGAGAGAGCAACUUGGUCUGGUUGAGGAAAGAAGACUUCCUGAGAAAGCUGUCAUUUCAGACAACACCUUGUCAGAAUGUGGCCCG